rnacentral:rRNA from 1 species
CAAAGGAAUUGACGGGGACCCGCACAAGCGGUGGAUGAUGUGGUUUAAUUCGAUGCAACGCGAAAAACCUUACCCACCUUUGACAUGUAUGGAAUCCCGAAGAGAUUUGGGAGUGCUCGAAAGAGAGCCAUAACACAGGUGCUGCAUGGCUGUCGUCAGCUCGUGUCGUGAGAUGUUGGGUUAAGUCCCGCAACGAGCGCAACCCUUGCCAUUAGUUGCUACGAAAGGGCACUCUAAUGGGACUGCCGGUGACAAACCGGAGGAAGGUGGGGAUGACGUCAAGUCCUCAUGGCCCUUAUAGGUGGGGCUACACACGUCAUACAAUGGCUGGUACAGAGGGUAGCCAACCCGCGAGGGGGAGCCAAUCCCACAAAGCCAGUCGUAGUCCGGAUCGCAGUCUGCAACUCGACUGCGUGAAGUCGGAAUCGCUAGUAAUCGCGGAUCAGAAUGUCGCGGUGAAUACGUUCCCGGGUC